GGAUGUGAGGGCGAUCUGGCUGCGACAUCUGUCACCCCAUUGAUUGACAGGGUUGAUUCUGCUGCUCUGGCUGCCUACGAGGGUGUCCCCUUCCUCCUUCACUGCUCCAUGUGAAUCCCCCUUAUAUGUUUGCUGAAGUGCUCCACUUUGUAUUGAGUGCUUCCAUUCUUGAAUGAAAUACUAGAUGCAGUACGCUAGUUGUCUUUUACCUUAAUUUUCAAAUUAAUGGUUGUAGAACUACCACGUCAUAAAUUCUUAGUUAAAACUGAGUUUCCUAACAAGUUCUGUGAAAUAUCACUUGUU
rnacentral:snRNA from 1 species